UACGUAGGGGGCUAGCGUUGUCCGGAUUUAUUGGGCGUAAAGAGCGUGUAGGCGGCCAGGUAGGUCUGCUGUGAAAACUCGAGGCUCAACCUCGAGACGUCGGCGGAAACCAUCUGGCUAGAGUCCGGAAGAGGAGAGUGGAAUUCCUGGUGUAGCGGUGAAAUGCGCAGAUAUCAGGAAGAACACCCGUGGCGAAGGCGGCUCUCUGGGACGGUACUGACGCUGAGGUGCGAAAAGCGUGGGGGAGCAAACAGG
rnacentral:rRNA from 1 species